GCUGUAAGAAGACUGAAUUCCAAAGGGUAAAAAGAGUUGGCUUGAAUCCAAAUAUUCUGGGGACAGAGGCAAGUGGAGGCACCAAGACUGAAAGGCCAGUACUCUUUCUCCUGCUACAAAACUCCUUGUAAGCUUUCACUUUGUUUUUUUACCUAGUAGAACAUAUUUCAUGAAUUAAACCAACUUUUCUCAAAAUAUCAUUAUAAUAAAAGCUUUAAGAAAAAAGGGCAAGAGGCCUAAGUGUAGUACUCCUGAAAGAAAAGGUUCAUUGUUAUACUUAUCCAUCAAGGAUUAAUUGUGUGCAGUAGAGGUUGUGAGGGAAGAAAACUCCCAAGUCUUAAUAAAAGACUCUUAGAUUUAAAGCUACAUUGUAGGGCCAAAAUGAUGGCUCAGUGGGUAAUAACAUGGGCCACUGAUGAUCUGUGUUCAAUUCCAAGAGCCUACAUGGGAGAAAGAGAAAACUUUCCUCCAAGUUGUCUUUUGUCUUCCUCACAUGCAUGGUGACAUUCCCUCUUUCUGUGAACACACAUGCACACACACACACACACACACACACACACACACACACACACACACACACACACCAAUUAAAUUAUAGGUAUAAUAUUUGAAUAACAAUGAACAAUUAUAGCCCCCAAAUUUCCUUGUUAUGUAUGUAUCAGGCUCUGUUCUUAGACUUUAUUAAUAUAAUCCAUCCAGUCCCAAUAAGACUAAAUUUAAGUUGCAUUGUGGCAUGUUCAUCUCAUUUCUCUCUCCUGUGGAGAUCAUGGCUUUUAAGGUCUGUAUGGUAUCAGUUAGGUAUUGUGAGUGUGGGUAUAGAAAGCUCAGAGGGGAAGCAGAAGCUCUAAGAAAGCUCACAGGCUACAUGGCAGUGGAAAGGGGGUUACAGAGAGUGAGUUGGAGGUUACAUAGCAUCUACAUGGCUUGCUUCACAUCUUUAACAUUUUUAGAUAUAUUCAUUUUAUUUUCUGUGUAUGACUAUUUUGCCUGGUGCUCAAAGAGUCACAGAUGCUUAUGUACCACCAUGUGAAGACUGUGGAAUUGAACUCAAGCCCUCUACAAGAUCAGCAAUUACUCUUAACCACGAAACAAUCUUUUCAGCCACGUUUCCUAUCCUUUGAUGAGUUUAAGUUCU
rnacentral:lncRNA from 1 species